GCCACCGGAAAGAGGGGCGAACACAGGUCCCCUUUCCCCUAGCUACACCCCUGGUAGCAACCUCUGACAGCCAAGUCUGAGAUAAAAGUUGUCUGCUGCAGAGUUUUGGAGGGAAAGUUACAAAAUGUUCUGAUUGGUUGUUUCCAGGCAGAGACAGAAGGUUCUGGCUUUCUGAGAGACGAAACUCCCUGAUUGGGUAAAGUAUCCCUCUGGAAUUUGUUAAAAUGGAGAGUUUAACAGCCAGGAGGAAGAAGGUCUGUGAGUGGGUGGAGAGUUCUAUGAGAGAGAGAGUGCUGCUGAGUGUUGUGUGAGCCAGAAGGCUGGAACACCAACAGGGUCGGGCUGAAACCACUAGGGACGGUAGCAGUGAGGGAGCUGAUUCUACUGGAACCUGCUAGGCCUUGGGAGAGAAAACUUGCGAGCUUAUUUGUUUUGUAUUUUGAACUGUGUAUUCCUGCCAACUGAACUUUUCAACAUUUGUUCCUGUACUGGUGGUGGUUGUUUUUAAUUUCUGCAACCUUUUAUUCUAGUAAACCUGUUCUUGUUUUUGUACUAUUUUCCUGGUAUCUCUGUCUGUCAUUUUAGUCCCACCUCAUGCCCAUUUUAUUUACCCCACUACUGACUUUUGAUAUUGUUUUUGAAAGACAGAGGGUUCAGUGACUAGGAGUGGAACCAGUCGCACAAGCUAAUGAUCUUAUUUUGAUGGCAGCGGAUGGUGAGACUGGAGGCCAGCUGUGGCCAAGAGCUCACACAGCACAAACUUUGUAUGUCUACAUUCCUAGGUUUGGGCAUUAUUGUAUUCACUUGAAGGUCUCGGGUAACAAAGCUGGGAAAACCAUUAACAGUCCUAGAGAGCUGAUGAAAUUGAUCCAGAUGGACUUGGACCAAUGGUCUGACUGACUAUUCCUAAUAUGGCCAGAUUGGAAAGAGCCACGGCCACCUAGGGAGGCUGUGCACCGCAAGCCACUAAGGCCCCAAGCAGAGAUGAAGUAUGUGCAGUGAAACCAUGGGAUCAGUGUGCACAUUUAGUUGAUUUAACAUUAAUUGCUCUACUAACAUUAGCACCUUAUUUACCUUUCCCCCAGAAGGAAUAUAAACGAGGUCCAAAAAUUCAAUAGAGUUAUACCACAAUGAAACAGGAGAGAAGGAUACGGAUGGUUAUGUCUAGAGAAAGUGCAGUUAUAUGCAUGCUUUUAUAUAUCAUUUGACAAAGUGAUAGUACUUCACAGUAUGUCAAUGUUAUUACUCACAACAUAAAAUCCAGAUGAUUCUGUUAAAUUAGGGAAAGUUGUGGGUACAAUUAACGCUCAAUGAGUUGAAAAAAGGGGAGCUUGUUUUCAUUAAAGAUGGCUUGAAUUCAGUUUAAAACAUUGCCUCUAUUUUUCUUUCUUCUUUCUUCCUGCACUUAACUAGGCCUUUGCAGUGGGAAAGUAGCACCAACUGUUGCAGAUGUCUUCAUCACAGUGGAAUGCUUUUAAACUUAACGAGGAGUUGCCAUAAAUCAGGGCACUCCAUCCUGCUUUCUGUCAUGGACACAUACAUUCUCUUAAACUAUUAAACUCUUCAAAGAUAAUCACCAAUCAGUAGGAGGCUUUUGGCUAAAAGCAAUAAAGAACUGAUUGAUUGAUUGAUUGAUUGAUUGAUCAGCUAAAUCAACCAAGGACAGUGCAAUGAAAGCCCACCUAAGAGAAAAGAGCACCCUGAAGAAGCAAUGUGAUUUCUUUUCAAGUCCAAUGACACCUACAAGCCGAAGUGUGAGAAUUAAGGACAUGAAGAGCACUGUAGUUCAGUGCACAGCAUUUUUGUCAGGUUGUUGGGGAAAUCUGGAUUCAAAUCCUGGCUAUUCCAUGGACUUCUUGGAUGGGCAAGCUGCCAUCUUUUGAAUGCAGUCCUCCACCUGCAAAAUGGAAAACAGAACAACCAACUUCAUAGGGCUCUUAUGAGAACUAAUAAGGAAAGCAAUAAAAUGGUGGUAAAGAAGAAGAGACUUCCGUCACUGCAAUUCAGCAAAAUGGUGCAAAAAAAAUUUGGUUGGUGUUGUCUCGCUAUUAAAUGGUAAUGAAAUUGAGAUUCAGCCAAAAAACAAAAACCCACCAAGGAAAUGAGGACACAAUUCAGAUGUGUAUCAGCAAAAUGCACUGGCUAAAAAUUAACCUUGAAAUUGAGGGGAAACAAUGUGUCUAUUCAGCUGUAAAUAGCCCUCCCGUGAAAUACUUCUAAGAACCACAAUAAUGUUAUCCCACUAUUCCCACACAGAAUGUUGAGAAGAAGAUACAGACAUCCAGGCCAGCAUGUGAUCUUAUGAUGUUGCAGAAGUGAGGAAAACCUUUCUUGCUUUUUCCCUUUUCUUAAAAAUACAUCUAGUUGGCAGAAGGUGCUGUGUCUGUGCAUGCACAAAUGGAAAUAAGAUGUACCCUGGGAGAUGAUGCAUCCUGCUUUUAGAACUUCCAAAGAAGGAAAUUUUCCAUGGGAUGACUACAGAUUUGAAGGAUGGCUAGUCCAAUAGUUUCUUGUAGAAUUGCUUUGGGAUUUGAUGAGGACGUAAUCACAUGUACACAGAAGGUGACUCUUGCAGUAAUUAGGAAAGAACUUCAUUGUAUGCAUGUGUAUGGAUGGGUGUGUUCGUAUCUGCGGUUUUUUCAGUCCCUUUCUUCUUGUCCACUGCAACUUUGCAAGGCAGUAUUGAAGAAAAUGUGUGUAAAUGAAAUAAGCUUCAGGAGGGUGUGCAUAAUAUACAAAUCCAUCUACCAGAAGUGGCAUACUGCAGUUUUCCCCUACUAUUUCCCCCUAAAAUUUAAUCCAAAGAUUUGGUGAAACAUUAAGUGCAGAACAAUCAUUGCAUUCAUACAAAACUACCAAAUAUGAUGUUGCUUUGCCAUUGCAGGGCCCUUUCAUAAUUACCAUCUUCGGUAGGGAUGACCAUGCACAUAUUUGGAUCAGGACACCCAUUGCGACAGGCUUCAUUUCAAUGAGCCCUAUUGAAAUGUUCCUACUUAAAAUGAAGUCACAGUCAUAAGGCAGGGCUGUUUACACUUCUCAGCCAGCAGUGCUUUUCAGUCCAGUGAUUAAACAUAGUCACAUGUGUGCAUAACAGAAAUCAGAAAACUAUGCAAAAUACUCAAAAGCCGAGAUGGUCUGAAAUAAGACAGAUUUACUAUGUUCUGCAGCACAGUGCUAUGAAAUAAGGGGAUAUUGCUUAAAAUAGAAAUUUAGAUAUAGGAAAAAAAUAGAAAAUAGAAAUUUUCUUAAAAUAGAAAUUUUCCACUCAUUUCACGCUAUAGCGUCGUAUAAUCUGUGAUGAAUCUGCUAGGAAUGAAAGCACAGAUCAGAAGCUGGUUUUCUAAGCAUGGACUAAAAGAACAACCCUCUUGGAGGCUGAAGUUGAAAUUCUAGUUGCAUUCACUUAGGAGAAAACUCCAUUGUACACAGUGGCAUGUACAUCUGGCUUAACAUGCUGCAAAAGGGAAGUGUUACGUAUAUGGAAGAACAAAUUAAACCUGACAUAGAGACCUCAAUUUUAGAUUUAUUGAAUUUGGCUGCCAAGAAAGGUAAGCUAUAAGAGUCAUGACAGAGAAGGAAAAUAUAAGGAUAUAUGGGGGGAUUUUGUAGAGAUUUAUGCUUUGUAGUUAAUGUCCAAAAUUUGGUGAAUGUCAGCAUUCACCUGUGAAUAUUAGUAAUCCCCAGCAAAUUUUCCGAAUGUUCCAAAAUGUAGAGAUGCAUCAGAGAGUGUUGACAGUCACCUAAAUGUGACUGUCAGGAUUCAGAAGUAUAUGUCUGAAAAGUAGAGAAAUCUAUAUUUGCUUUCAGACAUUUACAAAAUGUGGAGGGAAUUGACAUUCACCUAAUUUUGGACAUUCACUGUAACAUAAAAUUACAUCCAAGGGAGAUGAGGGAGGGAUAUCUGAGGACAGGACUGGGCUUGAAGAAUUACUAACAUGUUUUAAAACAGCCUGGUCUCAGGACUGUGGUGGGCACAUUUAUAUGCACAAAUUGCCCAACAGGCCAUUUGAAGAGAUUUAGGGUUAGAAUUAAGCCUAAAAUCUUGCCCAGUUCUUGACUUGUUUUUUGAACCAAAUGUAACAAAAUUUAAAUACUUUCCCAGAGGCAGAGCAUGAUCCAGCAAAAGUUAAGCACUUAAGCCCCAUUUAUGUAAAUGGAAUGGAUUUAAGCACAUUGGCUUUCAUCUUGAUUUACCAUGAUUAAUCUGUAUGUUUGUUGAACUUAAUUACUUUAAAAAGUGUGUGUGUGUGUGUGUGUGUGUGUGUGUGUGUGUGUGUGUGUGUGUGUAAAGAACUGCUUUAAGCAAGAUCAGGAGACCAAGCCAUAUUUCUUUGCUGGAAAGAGAGCUUUACUUAUAAUACAGAAGGCAAUUCACUACCUUGACAUUGGAAAAUAUUUGUGGCACCUCAUCGUCUGCCCAGUUGAUUUAUCAGGGAUCCUGGUCAAGAAAUAAAUGUGGUGUUGGUAACAGUUUAAGCCAGAUAACAAAAAGGGGAUUAUUGCUAUUAUUUGGUACAAAAAUUAGACUUCGUCUUUUUAAUGGGUGGCAUAUCCUGCUUAGUGUCUGUUAAGUCUAAAUCACAGCCCCUCCAUGUGACUGGAGAAAAGGAAGUCUUAAAAAUAAAGCCUUUCAUCCAGUGGCUUGGGUUUUCUAAGAGAAGACAACAGGAAACAGGAAACAUAGCAACACCGUGGAAAUAAUGUUUGGAUACACUAUUUCUUCCAGCAUCCAAAUAAUAUGUCGCACAGACCAGAAAUGAAGCUGUUGUACCAUUAAAAGCCCAUGCAGCCUCAGACAGCCACCCUUUUGUAAAAUGAGUAGCCCCUUCCCCCUUGGACUGCCAUAUCUCAUAAAUCUUUGCUUCCAACUAGUCUCUAAGACUCUGCCUCUUGCAUUAAUGGCUUGAAACUGUUGUGCAUCAUGUUCAAAGGGAACGGAGAGUAUUUAACAAAACAACUCUUGGCGCAGGAUACAAUUAUAACUGACAGCCAGAUGUCUGCCCUGUCUGGUACAACAUGCCUAGCAAGAGAUUGCAAAUGGUUC